ensembl:lncRNA
GGGCAGGAUCUAUGAGGCCAGUAGUUGCUGCCGCCGCCUCUGCCAUAGUUUUUCCAGAACUUAUGCAGGAGUCGCCAGCCCCAGCGAGGCUGUAGGGAGGACCGGAGAGAAAAAACAUGAAGCUUUAAAUCUGCUCGUUGCCCAGUUAUUUCAAGAUUGUGUUCAAAAUGCAGAUGAGGUCGGUCACCAUAGAGCUUGAAUGGAGUUCCCUGUGCUAUACGAUAUAGGAGAUCUGAGGCAGGAGAAUGGGUGAGAACAGAGGUUUCAGAGCCUGAGAGAUGAGCGAAUCAUGACUGAGAACACUGCCUGGCAUCUUCGCAGCUGCCGCAUGUGAGAAAAGGGUGGAGGGGGAACCAAGAGGUGGGUAACGAACGCGGCCACGGGAGCUUCGCUCUUUGCUCCUGCGUGUUUCCAUAUUCGGGUGAAAACGCACAAUGACGUAGCAGGCUGAUCUGUUUUAGCACCAGAGAUAAAAUGCUCAGAAGAAAGGUUAUCAGCUUGCCUAGUUAUUAAAAAUCCAGCAAGCCGUGGUUGAAAAGGUUUAGCUAAAGCUCGGACUCUUCGGGGGAAACAGCGAUGAACUAUAUUUGCCUCAGGACCUUGUAUGGGC